GAGAACCUCCGGGGGCAAGAGGUUCGACUCGAGCGCAGCGAGAGAACGUUGCGUCAGCAACGGCCCGCAGGGCGAGCCACGCAGUGGCGAGUCAUCCUCUAUCACCGACCA
rnacentral:sRNA from 4 species